rnacentral:snoRNA from 14 species
UGGCGAUGAUGAAAAAAAGGCCGGACUUACGGCUACUACCACCGUGAAAGUGUGGUGGGUAGUAGAAUGAUGCUAAAGUAUCCAAAGGUUACAGCUGAGCCUC